GCUACCUACGGGGCGCAGCAGUGAGGAAUAUUGGUCAAUGGGCGAGAGCCUGAACCAGCCAAGUCGCGUGAGGGAGUACUGCCCUAUGGGUUGUAAACCUCUUUUGUCGGGGAGCAAAAGCCGGACGUGUCCGGCUGUGAGAGUACCCGAAGAAAAAGCAUCGGCUAACUCCGUGCCAGCAGCCGCGGUAAUACGGAGGAUGCGAGCGUUAUCCGGAUUUAUUGGGUUUAAAGGGUGCGCAGGCGGGCUGUUAAGCCGGCGGUAAAAAUUCAGGGCUCAACCCUGUCGAGCCGUCGGAACUGGCG
rnacentral:rRNA from 1 species